AAUGAACGUUGGCGGCGUGGAUUAGGCAUGCAAGUCGAGCGAGAACCCGCAAGGGGGACAGCGGCAAACGGGGUAGUAACGGGUAGGCAACGUACCCUUCGGUCGGGGAUAGCCACGGGAAACUGUGGGUAAUACCCGAUAAUCUCUGCGGUGGUAAGUAUCGCAGAGCAAAGGUGUGAUUCCACCGGAGGAGCGGCCUGCUUCGUAUUAGCUAGUUGGUGAGGUAACGGCUCACCAAGGCGACGAUGCGUAGGGGGUGUGAGAGCAUGACCCCCACACUGGGACUGAGAUACUGCCCAGACACCUACGGGAGGCUG
rnacentral:rRNA from 1 species